rnacentral:rRNA from 1 species
AACGAACGCUGGCGGCGUGCCUAACACAUGCAAGUCGAGCGAGAAAGCCCGCAAGGGUGAGUAAAGCGGCGCACGGGUGCGUAACACGUGGGUAAUCUGCCCUGAAGUCCGGAAUAACUCGCCGAAAGGCGUGCUAAUGCCGGAUGAGACCACGGGAGCCUCGGCUCCUGCGGGAAAAGGUGGCCUCUGUACACAAGCUAUCACUUCAGGAUGAGCCCGCGGCCCAUCAGCUCGUUGGCGGGGUAAUGGCCCACCAAGGCUACGACGGGUAGCUGGUCUGAGAGGACGAUCAGCCACACUGGAACUGAGACACGGUCCAGACUCCUACGGGAGGCAGCAGUGGGGAAUCUUGCGCAAUGGGCGAAAGCCUGACGCAGCAACGCCGCGUGUGUGAUGAAGGUCUUCGGAUCGUAAAGCACUGUCGCGAGGGACGAAUAAGGGGCGGGCUAACAUCCCGUUCCGAUGACGGUACCUCGAGAGGAAGCACCGGCUAACUCUGUGCCAGCCGCCGCAGUAA